CGAACACUAUCCUUGACCAUCUGUACCAAUAACAGAACGGUUGGAAAAAAAGGUUAAUCAGUCUGGUUCAACCCUACAGUUCAAGAUUCAGGACAGCUACAAAGGCAAAUUCAAGGCAGCUUAAGUUCGGUUCAAACAUAAAUCGUUUCAGUUAAGUUGUCUAGAUGCUAGGGGACCAUGAACUGAACUAAUAUAAAUCCACACAAGGGAUGAAGAAAUUAAUCCAGAGAGGAAGAACAACAACUCAGCCAGCUGGUUACAAUCUAAACUGAUCUGGAUUAAAAGGCAAAACAGUUUACCGGUUCAAAUCAAACACGGUCUGAACUCAACUGAUACUCCACCUUAAGAUGAAGACACGCCAAACCUGAUCAGUACCACAUCAAGAAAAGGUCGGACUCAAUCAGAACAA
rnacentral:lncRNA from 1 species